rnacentral:rRNA from 1 species
AUACGGAGGGGGCUAGCGUUGUUCGGAAUUACUGGGCGUAAAGCGCUCGUAGGCGGUUUGUUAAGUCGGAUGUGAAAGCCCCGGGCUCAACCUGGGAACUGCAUUCGAUACUGGCAAACUAGAGUAUAGUAGAGGCAAGUGGAAUUCCGGGUGUAGCGGUGAAAUGCGUAGAUAUCCGGAGGAACAUCAGUGGCGAAGGCGACUUGCUGGACUAAUACUGACGCUGAGGAGCGAAAGCGUGGGGAGCAAACGGGAGUAGAAACCCCAGUAGUCC